rnacentral:miRNA from 1 species
CUAUUAGGUUGGUGCAAAAGUAAUUGUGGUUUUUGUCAUUACGUUUUUUAGAAAACAAAACGGCAAAAACCGCAAUUACUUUUGCACCAACCUAAUA